rnacentral:misc_RNA from 1 species
GAAUGAAAUGAAAAGCUACUCAUUCCCCCAUUUCUCAUGUCUUUGAUAAUUGUCUUGCCACUUGUUUGCUUUUGCAAGUAACCUUUUAACUCUCUUCCUUCGUAAGCUAAAACCACAACUCUUCCUUCAUGUUUCCUUCCUGUUCUGCCCAUGCGCUGAAUCAUCCUCAAAGGUGAUACAUUAGCAUCAAAGCAUAUGACAAGAUCUACU